rnacentral:lncRNA from 1 species
CUAUUUAGCCUAACGUACACUUAACUAUGUCAUCUUUUCCAGACUUUCCAGCUGUUAGCACCUGCUCAUCCUUAUCCUGUGCAUUCCUCUAGGACAUCCCCUUCAGCUGCUCAGACUGAGCCUUGUGAUGCACUGUGGUGUAUGCCAACAGCCUGCUAGAACUUUCCAGGGCAACAGUGCAGCACCAGAGCAGGGAGGCUGCCUGGCACUGUGUGAAUGCCAGGGCAGAAGUGGAGUUCAGGAGGGCACUGACAGCAUGCAGCAGAGUGUCAGAAUGGAGGGAAGCACUCUUCUGUUCCCAUUUCCUGACAUACCUAGUGGAGCUGCUACAGAAGAGCCAAGACAGGCCCUUUGGAUCAUCUGCUCAGACCUGCUCCCAGCUCUCUCUAGCUGCAGUUGCACCUGUCCUUGGAUCAUGGUGGAAGAUCUGAUAACUUGCUGCAACUUACUGCUGCAUCACACCACCUAUAUAUAUUGCAGUGGUCAGUGACGGUGUAUGAGAGGAAUAAGAUAAACUUGUGUGGGAUACUGAGUGAGGCGGGGACCUGUGGAAAAAAUAGUAUGUUAUCAUGUGAUUAAAGACUGUAUCAAAAUACAUAUGUACAAGGGGGCUGAAUUUAGGUUGUACAGGCAAUGUAAGUUCUGGCAUUUCCUAACUUUUAAGUGCUUAACUUUGCCACCUUAACUUUCUUUUAAUAUAUUUUCAUAAGUAAUUUCCUAGGUGUCUAAAAAAUCACACUGAAAGCAGAGAUUCCCUCAAAUGAAACUAUAUUAAAUCUCACAUGGUUCAGCACCAGGAGUAGAACCAUUAGAUCCACAGCCCAGACCUCUGCCUCUUGGUCUAACAGAAUAACUGAUAGCAGUAGUAGGUUGUCAUCCUCUGUGCAUCAGCCACUAGAGAGAGAGAAAGCAUUCAGUUUGCCAGUGGGUUUCACAGCCAUGUGCUGACAGCAGAGAAACACUGAAACUCAGGAAUCUUGAUUCUAUUCUAGGUGUUGAGGGAACUGUACUCUAAUGGUUACAGACCCUUCUACCCGUUCCCCCCAAGUCUGAUCCUUUCUGCUCCUAUGCCCUACUGUCUCUUUGUCACCUCCAUCCACCCCUCAGUACUGUUCUACUUUUCCCCCUUGCUACCUCCCCUUGGCCAAGUCUCCCCACUUGUCACCCCCCUAGAAGACCCAGCUCUUCAUCACUGCCUUUGGAUCAGUCUGCUUUCUCCUGAUUCUUCUCUUCACUGCCCACAUGCCAGUGGGUGCAAGUACUGAACGUACAGGAGACAGUCCCCUUGCUCUCCGUUCACCUCCCCAGUACCACAUCAGCUGGGAGCAUGGGCGGCAAGUUAUAUACCUAUGUGGUGCCUGAGCACCAGCAAUAUUCAGAGCCGAGGAGCCCAGCUCCACCAAUGUUUGGGGCGAGGUCUCCCCCCUGGCCCCACCUGCUGCCCCCCGUCCCUCCCCCAAGUGUCCCCUGGCCCCCCCCUUGCUGGCCUC